UACGUAGGGUGCAAGCGUUAAUCGGAAUUACUGGGCGUAAAGCGUGCGCAGGCGGCUUUGCAAGACAGAUGUGAAAUCCCCGGGCUCAACCUGGGAACUGCAUUUGUGACUGCAAGGCUAGAGUACGGUAGAGGGGGAUGGAAUUCCGCGUGUAGCAGUGAAAUGCGUAGAUAUGCGGAGGAACACCGAUGGCGAAGGCAAUCCCCUGGACCUGUACUAACGCUCAUGCACGAAAGCGUGGGGAGCAAACAGG
rnacentral:rRNA from 1 species